CGCAUCUGUGCAUGCAGCAUAUCAAUAAGCGGAGGAAAAGAAACUAACAAGGAUUCCCCUAGUAACGGCGAGUGAAGCGGGAAGAGCUCAAAUUUGAAAUCUUAAAGGUUUUCCCUUGACGAAUUGUAGUUUAAAGAAGUGUUUUCUGUUGAAGUUUUGGUAAAAGUUCUUUGGAAUAGGACAUCAUAGAGGGUGAGAAUCCCGUAUUUGACCAUUAUUUUCAGCUGUGUGAUACACUUUCAAAGAGUCGGAUUGUUUGGGAAUGCAGUCCAAAAUGGGUGGUAAAUUUCAUCUAAAGCUAAAUAUUGGCGAGAGACCGAUAGCGAACAAGUACCGUGAGGGAAAGAUGAAAAGAACUUUGAAAAGAGAGUUAAACAGUACGUGAAAUUGUCAAAAGGGAAGCGUUUGACACCAGUGUUGUCUUCUCGAAAAUCAAUUAAAAAGAGUUAGAUUUUGUUGUGUAUUGACCUUAACAGCUUGCAUUUCAAUUUUCUUGCUUUUUUUAAUGCACUUUUCGUUUAACAGGUCAACAUCAGUUUCUUUUGUUGUAAAAAGGUCAUUGGGAGGUGGCUUUCUUUUCGGAGAAAGUGUUUAUAGCCUUUGACUCCUGCAAUCGGAGAGACUGAGGUCUGCAGCGUAGAUCCUUCGGGGUUAGAUACAUUUGUGCUAAGUUAUAGCUUUUUAUAGACAACUUGUUGACUAUGAUUAGUCUUGUAGCUUACAUCGCUUAUGCUAUUUUACCUACGCUUAGGAUGUUGAUGUGAUACUGCGAGCA
rnacentral:rRNA from 1 species